rnacentral:lncRNA from 1 species
AGCUGUCAUACCUCGGCGAAGUAACAUUCACGGCCAUACCUUCGACCACCUGUUUUCCAGGUCAGCCGGGCCCUGUGGAGGUGACCCUCACGGUCUAGGCCAAACAGCAUCCCUGGGACCCAGCCUCCGCCCCUCCCCCUUAUCCCCCCCACUCCCUCAACUGGGACAGUGACUCCUGUCCCAAGAGGAGUGUGGAGAAAUGUGGAGGGAGAGAGGACCUGACAGGGGGGCACCUAGGCCUGAAGCUGGGGUCCGUCUGUGUCACCUUUGACCUUUAUCCUAAACAGUGCUCUCACACCUUCCCAACCCCCUGUUCGGAAACAAGACUGGAAGUGGAAAGUUCCAGAACUGAUGAGCCAAAGGACAAAACCGUAAGGCAAUAAGUCAGCCUCAUCACGCUUAGGAAGGAUGGAGGCUGAUGUCUUUGCUGCUGGGCCUGGAGCCUGCCAGUGUGACCCCUGGUGGCUUUGCAGGCAGGAAGGAGAGGACACUGACUCUCAUAUCAAGCCAUGACCCCGGUGCAAGAGGCUAUCCUAAAUUAGGCAGUCGCAGCUGCAGAGAAUCACCCCUGAGAAGUGGCAUCACGGAGUGCCAGCUCCUCACCCCAAAAACGUCAUUCUGUGGUCACGUGUACGUGAGUGGACAGGACAGGAGCAGGCACCUCCAGUGCCCCUUUUGUUUGCACCCUCGCCCCUCAGCUGCCCGUUCCUCUUGGUUUCCAUAUGCCCCCCCAUCAGUAGGAUCACAGCACACUUCGCUCAAAA